rnacentral:rRNA from 2 species
AUCAUGCAACNUCGANCGGAUGANUGGAGCUUGCUCCAUGAUUCAGCGGCGGACGGGUGAGUAAUGCCUAAGAAUNUGCCGGGUAGUGGGGGACAACGUUUCGAAAGGAACGCUAAUACCGCAUACGUCCUACGGGAGAAAGCAGGGGACCUUCGGGCCUUGCGCUAUCAGAUGAGCCUAGGUCGGAUUAGCUAGUAGGUGAGGUAAUGGCUCACCUAGGCGACGAUCCGUAACUGGUCUGAGAGGAUGAUCAGUCACACUGGAACUGAGACACGGUCCAGACUCCUACGGGAGGCANCANUGGGGAAUAUUGGACAAUGGGCGAAAGCCUGAUCCAGCCAUGCCGCGUGUGUGAAGAAGGUCUUCGGAUUGUAAAGCACUUUAAGUUGGGAGGAAGGGCAGUAAGUUAAUACCUUGCUGUUUUGA